AUACGUAGGGUGCAAGCGUUAAUCGGAAUUACUGGGCGUAAAGCGUGCGCGGGCGGUUUUGUAAGACAGUGGUGAAAUCCCCGGGCUCAACCUGGGAACUGCCAUUGUGACUGCAAGGCUGGAGUGCGACAGAGGGGGAUGGAAUUCCGCGUGUAGCAGUGAAAUGCGUAGAUAUGCGGGGGAACACCGAUGGCGAAGGCAAUCCCCUGGGCCUGCACUGACGCUCAUGCACGAAAGCGUGGGGAGCAAACAGGAUUAGAUACCCUGGUAGUCCACGCCCUAAACGAUGUCAACUGGUUGUUGGGGAUUUAAUUUCUCGGUAACGAAGCUAACGCGUAAAGUUGACCGCCUGGGGAGUACGGCCGCAAGGUUAAAACUCAAAUGAAUUGACGGGG
rnacentral:rRNA from 1 species